UACGUAGGGGGCAAGCGUUGUCCGGAAUUAUUGGGCGUAAAGAGCGCGUAGGCGGUCCGGUAAGUCGGUUGUGAAAGUCGGGGGCUCAACCCUCGGAUGCCGAUCGAUACUGUCGGGCUAGAGUCCGGAAGAGGCGAGUGGAAUUCCUGGUGUAGCGGUGAAAUGCGCAGAUAUCAGGAGGAACACCAAUGGCGAAGGCAGCUCGCUGGGACGGUACUGACGCUGAUGCGCGACAGCGUGGGGAGCAAACAGG
rnacentral:rRNA from 1 species